GAUUCAGAGUGGAGGCCAGAGCAAACAGCAGCCUCUACCCCCACCCCAGGAACCCAGAGCCUCUCAGGCUGCCAAUCUAGCAAUCCUGCCUCCUGCUCUUCCUCUCAUGGACUUCAGCUUAACAGCCAUCGGUACAAGGACGUCACCUUCAGCGCCAGGAGUGAGCACCUGGAAGGCGGAGCCCCCGGCCUCCGUGGAGCCUUCGGAUGAGGCUGCUGCCCAGGUUGACGUCUUGACUGCACCCUCACGGGAGAUGCUGGGACAGAAGCACAGCUCAGCCACUCCGGGACUCCCAGAAACUGCAAGAUCCGUGGUUACUGUUCUUUUAAGCACUACACUUGGACAUAAUUCGUUACACAGUAAUAGGUAACUCAUACACCCAGGGAAAUGGUGUAUCCGGGGACUGUCGUGUGUAAGUGUCUGGGUGACUCUGGAAAAAUCUUUAAAACAAACAACGUUUUCACAUCAGGACUCAAAAAUGACACCCAAGAGACAUUAGCCUUGGGGUGCGUGUUAGAGAGAAUUGUUUCUAUUAUUAAA